rnacentral:lncRNA from 1 species
UUUUUGCUUUUAUUUUUGUUGAUUAUUUCCCAAUUUUUAAUUUUUACCAUUUCACAUUUGGUUUAUUUUUACUAUCAUGUAUCAUGUGCUGCAUGUAUUUCAGGUUCUGGGUAUUAUAGUUGGAUGAGGUAAUGAUCAAUAGCGGUAGUGGAUAAAAUGAUCACUCCACUUACUAUUGCUUGUUGUGAAGGAUCUUCCCAGAAAGUUGAUAUUGCUGAAGAAAAGAUUAGAUGCAAUUUCUAAAGCUCAACUAACAUAGUGUCCCUGUGCAUUCCGAGUUGAGUAAGAAGUCACACCAUACUCGAAAUACUGUGGAUGCUGUCAAGCUUUACCUAACAUGGUGAGUGCAUAAAAAGCCAAAAACAUUUGUCAUCAUGAGCGAUAUUCAGGUAUGUCUUUAUCACUCUGACUUUGCGUAGGUUCUCUGGGAGUUUCACUACAUGUAUACACACACUGAGGCAUGUUGUUUGAUUAUACCCUGAGCCUUUCUAGCCAUCCCGUUAAUGUUAUCCUUUGGUAACCCCAUUUGAGCCUGUAUCCAUUGUUUGUAUAACCCCGUAAAUGUACCCCUCAGCCAAAACACUUCCUUACCCUGUUCGGAGUCAAGUUGAUAUUAGUAAGUUGUGUUGCAAUUCUAAGUUUGGGGUAAAACCCAUAAGUUUCAAAAGCCAAGGUGAGUGCGGAAAAAAAUAAAUAAGAGAAUCUUCGAGAAAAAAAAAAGAGAGAAAAGAAAGUAAACUCGAGGGUUCAAAAGAAGCACUAGCCAAAGAAAGGCACUCAGAUGAAAACCAAGAAUAGUAAAGAAAAACCCGAGCUAUAAAAAUAAAUAAUAAUAAUAAUAAUAGAGCAAAAGAAAUAAAAUGAACAAACACAGUGAAAAUAAUAGUAACAUUGACUCCGACCCAAAAACCACUUG